UACGUACUGUGCGAACGUUAUUCGGAAUCACUGGGCUUAAAGGGUGCGUAGGCGGCUAAUUAAGCAGGGUGUGAAAUCCCCCGGCUCAACCGGGGAAUAGCGCUCUGGACUGGUUGGCUUGAGUAAGGUAGGGGUGUGCGGAACUUCCAGUGGAGCGGUGAAAUGUGUUGAUAUUGGAAGGAACGCCAGCAGCGAAAGCGGCACACUGGGCCUUAACUGACGCUGAGGCACGAAAGCUAGGGUAGCGAACGGG
rnacentral:rRNA from 1 species